CCUACGGGAGGCAGCAGUGAGGAAUAUUGGUCAAUGGGCGUAAGCCUGAACCAGCCAAGUCGCGUGAGGGAUGACGGCCCUACGGAUUGUAAACCUCUUUUACCGGGGAGCAAAGAGCGGGACGCGUCCCGCCUCGUAUGUACCCGAUGAAUAAGCAUCGGCUAACUCCGUGCCAGCAGCCGCGGUAAUACGGAGGAUGCGAGCGUUAUCCGGAUUUAUUGGGUUUAAAGGGUGUGUAGGCGGCCUUAUAAGUCAGCGGUGAAAGUAUGUGGCUCAACCAUAGAAUUGCCGUUGAAACUGGGAGGCUUGAGUAUGUUUGAGGCAGGCGGAAUGCGUGGUGUAGUGGUGAAAUGCUUAGAUAUCACGCAGAACCCCGAUUGCGAAGGCAGCCUGCCAAGCCAUGACUGACGCUGAUGCACGAAAGCGUGGGGAUCAAACAGGAUUAGAUACCCCAGUAGUC
rnacentral:rRNA from 1 species